AGCACCCUAGGCUGGAUUGUGAAUUCAUGCAUAGAACCAGACCUGCUCUACACCUAAUGCCAAAAAAAUCCUGCAAAGUUUUCCUCUGCUACAAAGCAACACAAAAAGCCCUCCUAGUCCAUCACCUGUUGCUCAAGGCAUGUAAGAGUAGAAACACACUUAGCCCCUAGAGCCCACACUGAGAAGCUGAGCACUGAGAAGGGACCAGGAUGUGAGGAGCCGCAGCAGUGGUCUUUGACCACUAUUUCUGCUGAGCAAAAACCAGAAAGCUUAUUCCUUUGUUCUAGAAAUCAGAAAACAAGGAGAAGCACUGCUUUAAUUACAUUUAGAGGUUUUUCCUAGGUACAGAGACAUGGUCAUGGAUCUUUCUGUAUAUAUAUAUUUUAUUUAUAUAUACAUAUAUAUAUAUAUCUAUAUAUAUGUAUGUGUAUUAUAUUAUUGAAUACUAUAUAUUCAAAACAUUUUACAUCAUAGCCAUGGGAAAUGGCAUUCCCACAGCAGGGAAAUGCCAUGACAGAAAAUGCAAGGAGGAUCGUUCUGUAUGACUCACUCUAGCAGGGAGGCCUUGGGACCAAAGCACCACCACCAUUUUUUCCCCCAUUUUUCUCCUUCCACAGUAUUAGUCAGGAGGCGGGGCUGAGAUGGGGGGCACGGAAGUGACAGCUUUGACACACAGCUGAAACCAUCAGGGCCAGUGUGGCAUGUGGGACUGUUUUUCCACUGCAGCAGAACCAGGCAAGCCAGAGUGGUGACACUGAUCCCAAGUGAGUCCAGCCAAGCCAAGUGGAGCCCAGCAGGGUGGUAGGAAGAGGCAGCUAAGUGGCAGAUCCCAUUCCCACACACAUGCCCAGCGUGGCAGACUGAUGGCAGCGGCAGUGCCAAACAGAGCUCUGCAGGGACAGAGAGACACCCAUCACCAUCGCCACUGCCACCAUCCCUGCUGCAGAGAGGGAGCAGAAAACUGCCACUGCAGGUGCACAGCUCCUCCAGGCAGCACCAGCAGCCCCCAUCUACCAUCAGAACCAUUCUGAGAGAGAGGAGAGGCUUUACAAGGACUACCUCAAGAAGAGGACAUAGAAUGGAGGGAAGGCCUUAGAAAGAAUAAACAACCCUCAUGCUGCUGCUUUUGCAAGGAAUAAAUAUCCAAGUUUCUUAA